rnacentral:rRNA from 1 species
UACAGAGGUCCCAAGCGUUGUUCGGAUUCACUGGGCGUAAAGGGUGCGUAGGUGGUUAGGUAAGUCGGUAUGUGAAAUCUCCGAGCUCAACUCGGAAACUGCAUUGGAAACUACCUGGCUAGAGGGUUGGAGGGGGGACUGGAAUGCUUGGUGUGAGCAGUGAAAUGCGUAGAUAUCAAAGCGGAACACCAGUGGCGAAGGCGAGUCCCUGGACAACUCCUGACCACUGGAUGCACGAAAGCUAGGGGAGCAAACAGG